rnacentral:rRNA from 1 species
AGAUUGAACGCUGGCGGCAGGCCUAACACAUGCAAGUCGAGCGGUAGAGAGGUGCUUGCACCUCUUGAGAGCGGCGGACGGGUGAGUAAUGCCUAGGAAUCUGCCUAGUGGUGGGGGAUAACGUUCGGAAACGGACGCUAAUACCGCAUACGUCCUACGGGAGAAAGCGGGGGACCUUCGGGCCUCGCGCCAUUAGAUGAGCCUAGGUCGGAUUAGCUAGUUGGUGAGGUAAUGGCUCACCAAGGCGACGAUCCGUAACUGGUCUGAGAGGAUGAUCAGUCACACUGGAACUGAGACACGGUCCAGACCUCCGUACGGGAGCAGCGAGGUGGGAAUAGUUGGAACAAGUGGGACGAAAGCCUAGACUCCAGCCAGUCGCCGCGUGUGGUAGAAGUAGGUUCUUAGGUAUUAGUAAA